GCCGGUAUGGCGCAGUGGUAACGCGGUUAGUUCAUCAACCAACUCUUCAUUGGCGACUCUACUAAUUAUUCUUCAGUCGCACUUGUAUCCUCAAGCAAAUGCGAAGAUCAUUGGUUCAAUUCCAGUUAUCGGCA